CUUUAGUGACAGCAAUGGGAAGAUAUUACCGAUAAGAAAACUCAGAGAAACAUGAUAAAGGCCAGUGAUGAAGAUUGCUUUGGGAAGACUUAAAACAUUGUGAUAAAGAUCCUCAGUAAAAAUGUACACAUCCAACAUUGUAAUAAUGGAGGAAGGAAGAAGAGUUUAUCCAGAGAGAAAUACAAUUCCAUUGGUGGGACAGAGAGGUGAAACUGGAUCUUUGAAGGCCUCUGUUGUCACCUCUAUCAUUAUUCUGCUCCAAUGACAACACAGAGUGUACUGUCAACGUCCUCCAGCAUCAAGACAGCGAGAUUCCCUGAUUUAAGAUCUCAGUUGCAUCCUUGCUCACAAAAGCAGAACAUAUCCAACCAAAAGUCAUUUUGCAUCUUUUUUUAUACGUAAUUCAAGUUUUCAUUGUGUAUUUUCUUCUAAAGAAGCAAAACAAAAUAAUCAAGCAAAAAAACAACAACAAAGAAACCUCUAAAAACUUCGUAACAUACCAGUUAUGAGCAGCCACGCUUUAACAUUGCUGCUGCCACCUCGUGGCUUCCCUUUGGAAAGCUAUCUACUGGUUUGAGCGGAAUAAACUGCAGGAGGCUUUUCA
rnacentral:lncRNA from 12 species